rnacentral:piRNA from 1 species
UGUGCAUGUCUUUCUUCACUGGUGGU